UACGUAGGGUGCGAGCGUUAAUCGGAAUUACUGGGCGUAAAGCGUGCGCAGGCGGUUUUGUAAGCCAGAUGUGAAAGCCCCGGGCUUAACCUGGGAAUGGCAUUUGGGACUGCAAGGCUUGAGUGCGGCAGAGGAGACUGGAAUUCCUGGUGUAGCAGUGAAAUGCGUAGAUAUCAGGAGGAAUACCGAUGGCGAAGGCAGGUCUCUGGGCUGACACUGACGCUCAUGCACGAAAGCGUGGGGAGCAAACAGGAUUAGAAACCCCAUAGUCC
rnacentral:rRNA from 1 species